AAAUUGAAGAGUUUGAUCAUGGCUCAGAUUGAACGCUGGCGGCAGGCCUAACACAUGCAAGUCGAACGGUAACAGGAAGCAGCUUGCUGCUUCGCUGACGAGUGGCGGACGGGUGAGUAAUGUCUGGGAAACUGCCUGAUGGAGGGGGAUAACUACUGGAAACGGUGGCUAAUACCGCAUAACGUCGCAAGACCAAAGAGGGGGACCUUCGGGCCUCUUGCCAUCAGAUGUGCCCAGAUGGGAUUAGCUUGUUGGUGAGGUAAUGGCUCACCAAGGCGACGAUCCCUAGCUGGUCUGAGAGGAUGACCAGCCACACUGGAACUGAGACACGGUCCAGACUCCUACGGGAGGCAGCAGUGGGGAAUAUUGCACAAUGGGCGCAAGCCUGAUGCAGCCAUGCCGCGUGUAUGAAGAAGGCCUUCGGGUUGUAAAGUACUUUCAGCGGGGAGGAAGGUGUUGCGGUUAAUAACCGCAGCAAUUGACGUUACCCGCAGAAGAAGCACCGGCUAACUCCGUGCCAGCAGCCGCGGUAAUACGGAGGGUGCAAGCGUUAAUCGGAAUUACUGGGCGUAAAGCGCACGCAGGCGGUCUGUCAAGUCGGAUGUGAAAUCCCCGGGCUCAACCUGGGAACUGCAUUCGAAACUGGCAGGCUUGAGUCUUGUAGAGGGGGGUAGAAUUCCAGGUGUAGCGGUGAAAUGCGUAGAGAUCUGGAGGAAUACCGGUGGCGAAGGCGGCCCCCUGGACAAAGACUGACGCUCAGGUGCGAAAGCGUGGGGAGCAAACAGGAUUAGAUACCCUGGUAGUCCACGCCGUAAACGAUGUCUACUUGGAGGUUGUGCCCUUGAGGCGUGGCUUCCGGAGCUAACGCGUUAAGUAGACCGCCUGGGGAGUACGGCCGCAAGGUUAAAACUCAAAUGAAUUGACGGGGGCCCGCACAAGCGGUGGAGCAUGUGGUUUAAUUCGAUGCAACGCGAAGAACCUUACCUGGUCUUGACAUCCACAGAACUUUCCAGAGAUGGAUUGGUGCCUUCGGGAACUGUGAGACAGGUGCUGCAUGGCUGUCGUCAGCUCGUGUUGUGAAAUGUUGGGUUAAGUCCCGCAACGAGCGCAACCCUUAUCCUUUGUUGCCAGCGAUUAGGUCGGGAACUCAAAGGAGACUGCCAGUGAUAAACUGGAGGAAGGUGGGGAUGACGUCAAGUCAUCAUGGCCCUUACGACCAGGGCUACACACGUGCUACAAUGGCGCAUACAAAGAGAAGCGACCUCGCGAGAGCAAGCGGACCUCAUAAAGUGCGUCGUAGUCCGGAUUGGAGUCUGCAACUCGACUCCAUGAAGUCGGAAUCGCUAGUAAUCGUGGAUCAGAAUGCCACGGUGAAUACGUUCCCGGGCCUUGUACACACCGCCCGUCACACCAUGGGAGUGGGUUGCAAAAGAAGUAGGUAGCUUAACCUUCGGGAGGGCGCUUACCACUUUGUGAUUCAUGACUGGGGUGAAGUCGUAACAAGGUAACCGUAGGGGAACCUGCGGUUGGAUCACCUCCUUA
rnacentral:rRNA from 1 species